GACGAACGCUGGCGGCGUGCCUAAUACAUGCAAGUAGAACGCACAGUUUAUACCGUAGCUUGCUACACCAUAGACUGUGAGUUGCGAACGGGUGAGUAACGCGUAGGUAACCUGCCUGGUAGCGGGGGAUAACUAUUGGAAACGAUAGCUAAUACCGCAUAAUAUUAAUUAUUGCAUGAUAAUUAAUUGAAAGGUGCAAUUGCACCACUACCAGAUGGACCUGCGUUGUAUUAGCUAGUAGGUGAGGUAACGGCUCACCUAGGCGACGAUACAUAGCCGACCUGAGAGGGUGAUCGGCCACACUGGGACUGAGACACGGCCCAGACUCCUACGGGAGGCAGCAGUAGGGAAUCUUCGGCAAUGGACGAAUGUCUGACCGAGCAACGCCGCGUGAGUGAAGAAGGUUUUCGGAUCGUAAAGCUCUGUUGUAAGAGAAGAACGGGUGUGAGAGUGGAAAGUUCACACUGUGACGGUAUCUUACCAGAAAGGGACGGCUAACUACGUG
rnacentral:rRNA from 1 species